UCCUCCUUCUCUUCCAUUCACUUUUGGGCCACUUCCUCUGUCCUGUUAACCCUAACAAUGGCCUUGUGGGAGGAGCAUAUUGGUCUUGUCAGUGGGCAGUGCGUCUCUGGACUGUACCGCCAUUCGUUUCUGUAGUGGGCAGAGACUCAGAACUGGUCAAAGUGCUGAGAAUGAGUGACUAUUGAGUACUCAGUUCUAAAUGGGACAUCCCCUGCGCAGAGAAGAUGAAGAAGCAGUAAGGGGAGGAGCUGGAAGGAAGGUGGAGUGAUGUCAUGGCACUCCGGAUGCACAGUCGCUAGUGUUGAGAAGAAAACCCAAGGCCUUAUGUGUGACAGACAUGUUCUACCACUGAGUUACACCACUGCCCUGGAGGCCACGUUCGACCACGGCUUUCUGACUCAAGCCAACUUCCUCAGGACUCCAGCACAUACUGAAGAGCAGCUGUGACAUCAGCCUCGUGGACUGAACAACUGCUGGAUUCUUGGACCUUCUGCUGGGUUAGCUGGACCACAGCCUGUAAGUCAUUCUAAUAAAUCCCCCUUCUGUA